rnacentral:rRNA from 1 species
UAGAUACCCUGGUAGUCCACGCCCUAAACGAUGCACACUAGUUGUUGCUAUGCUAGACAUAGCAGUAAUGCAGUUAACACAUUAAGUGUGCCGCCUGGGGAGUACGGUCGCAAGAUUAAAACUCAAAGGAAUAGACGGGGACCCGCACAAGCGGUGGAGCAUGUGGUUUAAUUCGACGAUACGCGAAGAACCUUACCUGGCCUUGACAUAGUAAGAACCUAAUAGAGAUAUAAGGGUGCUAGUUUACUAGAGCUUACAUACAGGUGCUGCACGGCUGUCGUCAGCUCGUGUCGUGAGAUGUUGGGUUAAGUCCCGCAACGAGCGCAACCCUCGUGUCUAGUUACUAACAGUUCGGCUGAGGACUCUAGACAGACUGCCUGGGUAACCAGGAGGAAGGUGAGGACGACGUCAAGUCAUCAUGGCCCUUACGGCCAGGGCUACACACGUGCUACAAUGGGGUAUACAGAGAGCCGCAAUACCGCGAGGUGGAGCAAAUCUUCAAAAUAUCUCCCAGUUCGGAUAGCAGUCUGCAACUCGACUGCUUGAAGUUGGAAUCGCUAGUAAUCGUGAAUCAGCAAUGUCACGGUGAAUACGUUCCCGGGUCUUGUACUCACCGCCCGUCACACCAUGGGAGUUGAAUUCAUUCGAAGCGGGGAUGCUAAAGUAGCUACCUUCCACAGUGGAUUUAGUAACUAGGGUGAAGUCGUAACAAGGUA